UCUCUGGUGGCUUAGUGGCAAAGAAUCUGCCUGCCAAGCAGAAGACACCAGUUCAAUCCCUGGAGAA
rnacentral:tRNA from 1 species